AGAGUUUGAUCCUGGCUCAGACGAACGCUGGCGGCGUGCUUAACACAUGCAAGUCGAACGAUGAAGCCCUUCGGGGUGGAUUAGUGGCGAACGGGUGAGUAACACGUGGGCAAUCUGCCCUUCACUCUGGGACAAGCCCUGGAAACGGGGUCUAAUACCGGAUAACACUCCUCUGGGCAUCCAGGGGGGUUGAAAGCUCCGGCGGUGAAGGAUGAGCCCGCGGCCUAUCAGCUUGUUGGUGAGGUAGUGGCUCACCAAGGCGACGACGGGUAGCCGGCCUGAGAGGGCGACCGGCCACACUGGGACUGAGACACGGCCCAGACUCCUACGGGAGGCAGCAGUGGGGAAUAUUGCACAAUGGGCGAAAGCCUGAUGCAGCGACGCCGCGUGAGGGAUGACGGCCUUCGGGUUGUAAACCUCUUUCAGCAGGGAAGAAGCGAAAGUGACGGUACCUGCAGAAGAAGCGCCGGCUAACUACGUGCCAGCAGCCGCGGUAAUACGUAGGGCGCAAGCGUUGUCCGGAAUUAUUGGGCGUAAAGAGCUCGUAGGCGGCUUGUCGCGUCGGUUGUGAAAGCCCGGGGCUUAACCCCGGGUCUGCAGUCGAUACGGGCAGGCUAGAGUGUGGUAGGGGAGAUCGGAAUUCCUGGUGUAGCGGUGAAAUGCGCAGAUAUCAGGAGGAACACCGGUGGCGAAGGCGGAUCUCUGGGCCAUUACUGACGCUGAGGAGCGAAAGCGUGGGGAGCGAACAGGAUUAGAUACCCUGGUAGUCCACGCCGUAAACGGUGGGAACUAGGUGUUGGCGACAUUCCACGUCGUCGGUGCCGCAGCUAACGCAUUAAGUCCCCGCCUGGGGAGUACGGCCGCAAGGCUAAAACUCAAAGGAAUUGACGG
rnacentral:rRNA from 1 species